UAUAUUUGAAAUCGAAAUCAAUGAACACAAAUAAAGUACAUACUUGGUGGUGGAAUAACUUACGAAAAACAUCGUGAGAGAGUCCCUGUAGUAUGUAACCAUAUAUAAAGGCUUGUC
rfam:Tlvibacter sp. LPB0005 TLVI_04, whole genome shotgun sequence.